GUCAUGGAGCCCCGAACGCUCUUCCUGCUACUCUUGGGGGCCCUGACCCUGACCGAGACCUGGGUGGGCUCCCACUCCUUGAGGUAUUUCAGCACCACCGUGUCCCCGCCCGGCCGCUGGGAGCCCCGAUACAGGUACAUCGGAGUGGGCUACGUGGACGACACGCAGAUCGUGCGGUUCGACAGCGACGCCGCGAGUCCGAGGAUGGAGCCGCGGGCACCGUGGGUGGAGCAGGAGGGGCCGGAGUAUUGGGAGGAGGAGACACUGGUAGUCAAGGCCAGCGCACAAACUGACAGAGUGAAACUGCGGAUCGCUCUCGGCUACUACAACCAGAGCGAGGCCGGGUCUCACCCUCCAGGGAAUGAAUGGCUGAGAUGUGGGACCCGAUGGACACUUCCUCCGCGGGUAUCACCAGCACGCCUACGACGGCAAGGACUACAUCUCCCUGAACAAGGACCUGCGCUCCUGGACCACGGCGGAAGUGGCGGCUCAGAUCACGCAGCGCAAGUGGGAGGCAGAGAAAUAUGCAGAGGAAUUCAGCACCUACCUGGAGGGCGAGUGCGUGGAGUGGCUCCACAGGUACCUGGAGAACGGGAAGGAGACGCCGUAGCGCGCCGAUCCUCCAAAGGCACACGUUGCCCAUCACCCCAUCUCUGACCAUGAGGCCACCCUGAGGUGCUGGGCCUUGGGCUUCUACCCUGUGGAGAUCAUGCUGACCUGGCAGAGGGAUGGAGAGGAUCAGACCCAGGACACAGAGCUUGUGGAGACCAGGCCUGCAGGGGAUGGAAACUUCCAGAAGUGGGCAGCUGUGGUGGUGCUUUCUGGGGAGGAGCAGCGAUACACCUGCCAUGUGCAGCACGAGGGGCUGCCAGAGCCCCUCACCCUGAGAUGGGAGCCAUCUUCCCAGCCCACCGUCCCCAACAUGGGCAUCAUUGCUGGCCUGGUUGUCCUUGGAGCUGUGGUCACUGGAGCUGUGAUGUGGAGGAAGAAGAUCUCAGGUUGGGAAGGGACAGAAACAGAGAGAGCUGCUCUCAGGCUGCAAUGUGAUAUAGCCGCCUUGUGUGGGACUGAGAAGCAAGAUUUGUUCAUGCCUCCCUUUUGUGACUUUGAGUACCCCAAAUUCUCUUUCUGCAACGGUGUCCAAAUGUGUCUUCAUCCCUGUUAGUAUAAUGUGAGAAAGUGGGGGACCAGUCCACCCCCGUGUCCUCCAUGACCCCCUUCCCCGCACUGCCCCAUAUUGUUUCUACCCAAUGAUCCUUCCUGUUCCAGAGACAUGGGACUUGGAUGUCUUUAUUUCUGUCUGAACUUCAUGGUGUACUGAGCUGCAACUUCCUACUUCCCUAUUAAAAUUAGAAUCUGAGUAUAAAUUUACUUCUUCAAAUUAUUGCCAUGGGAGGUUGAUGAGUUAAUUAAAGGAGGAGAUUACUAAAAUUUAAGAGACAAAAUAAAUGGAAGACCUGAGAACCUUCCAGA